UACGUAUGGAGCAAGCGUUAUCCGGAUUUACUGGGUGUAAAGGGAGCGCAGGCGGCUUUGCAAGUCUGAUGUGAAAGGCCGGGGCUCAACCCCGGGACUGCAUUGGAGACUGUAAAGCUAGAGUGCCGGAGGGGUAAGCGGAAUUCCUAGUGUAGCGGUGAAAUGCGUAGAUAUUAGGAGGAACACCAGUGGCGAAGGCGGCUUACUGGACGGCAACUGACGCUGAGGCUCGAAAGCGUGGGGAGCAAACAGG
rnacentral:rRNA from 1 species